rnacentral:rRNA from 1 species
AUAUAAUGAGUUCUUUUAGCUAAUUAUUAAAGGUCUGUUAUUGAAAGAGAGAUGUAGGAGAUAGCAAAAGUUUAAGGUUGCUGAGUAUUGUGCUAAAAGAAAGGUGAGUGUAAGAAAGAGUAGUACUGUGAAGGAAGAAGGUUAUUAAGUGAAAAGCAAUGACGAAGACAUGUACCUUUUGCAUCAUGGCCUAGCAAGAUGGAGAGUUGAAGAAUUUUUCUAGAAACUUCAUGCGCGUCCUUAUUGUCUUAUUUUGGUAAGAAAUCAGCCUGCUUGUGUGGCAUUACGAGGGGUAAACGAUAGGGAAGGGUUGAGAUUUUAUUCGCGUGAAGAGAUAGCUAGUUAUUCUAGAAAUGUAUUUUAGUACAGGGCGUUAAUAGAGUGGAGGACUGACGAUAAAAAGUUAAGGACUAGUUUAACGCACAAAGGCACUGGAAGGUAAGUUCUGGUGGUUCGAGUGGUGGAGCCGGUAGGAUUAACAUAAAAAGAAAAGAGGCUUAAGAUUGGCCAGGUUUAAUACUGUUUGUAAUAGGAGACUUAGGGAGAUUAAGUAAAUUGAUUUCGGGAAUCUAGAUGGAAUAAUGCUUAAGAAUGAGAUUCAGGUAAAAAGAAUGCUAGGAUGAGUAUUUAAAGAGUGAUCGAUCAAGGCGGUAAAGUUGACUAAUAGUUAUAGAGCUAAAAAAAUAAUUGUUAGGGAGAUAAUGGUGCUUUGGAGAAAGUUAUGGAAAGGAAUUCGGCAAAUAAAGUUCUCGCCUGUAUAGCAAAAACAUGGCUCUUUGGGAAGUUAUAAAGAGUCUGACCUGCCCAAUGAUUAAGAAAUAUCAAUUAUUUAAUGGCCGCGGUACCCUGACCGUGCGAAGGUAGCGAAAUCAUUUGCCUUUUAAAUGGAGGCCAGUAUGAAUGGUUAGACGGAGAAUUAGCUGUCUCUACAAAAAACGGAGAAUUUGAUUUUAAGGUUCAAAAGCCUAAAUAAAAUUAGAAGACGAGAAGACCCUAGCGUGCUUUAUUUUUGAGUUAAGGGCUUUAUGAUCGAGUAGUUAACUUUAAAUUUUUGUUGGGGCGACAGAGGAAGGGAGCAUCCUUUUUUAGCUAAGAAGGGUAGUUGGUGAUCCAACAAAAGAAGAGUUGUUGAGCAAAAAGAGAGUAACCGUAGGGAUAACAGCGUAAUUCUUUUGGAGAGUUCUUAUCGAAAAUAGGGUUUGCGACCUCGAUGUUGGACUAAGGUGUCCUGAAGGCGCAGGUGCUUUCAAGGGUUGGUCUGUUCGACCAUUAAAAUCUU